GCAAACGUCCUAUAAGCGUGUUUCAUGAGCGAAAGUCCGCAGGUUUGAUUUGCGGACGAACGCCUUUUAUCUGCUAAAUGGGCGAACGCCCAUAAGGCAAGCGAUAUUCGGGCGUGUAUCAUCACUAAGCCUAGUAGGCCAUCAAUUUUGGCCAAUUUUCCACCCAAGGGUCCUAUGUCACCUCCUAUUAUCUGUUAUUAUCGCCAGCGGUGCCACCUGCCAAGGACUCUUCUGGUCCUCACGAUACUAGACAUCUUUCUAAUAAGGAAUGCCUGGAUCCUAAGGCUAAGGGUCUCUGCUACAAAUGUAAUCAACAUUAUAGCCCCAAGCCUGACCGUCCCAAUAAGCAUUUACGGGCUUUGAUUAUCGCCGAUGAUGAGGAGGUUCCUUAUGAUGGUAUUAUUAAAGUGGCCAAACCGGAGUCAUCACCACCAACGUUACCUCAUGUUGAUGAAACUCAAUUCUCUUUGCUGGAAUUGUCGUUUUACUUUGUGGGAGGAAUUUCUAGCCCUCGUAUAAUGAAGUUUACAGGUUUCUUGCAAGGUCAUCCAAUCACCAUUAUGACUGAGAGUGGUGCCUCUCAUAAUUUCAUUGCCACUCAACUCGUUUCUCUUAUUCAAAUACCAGUCAAAUUAACACCUUAAUUUGGGGUCAAAUUGGGUGAUGGUCAUCGAACCAAUUCUCCGGGUGUUUGCCAUAAUUUGGAAUUUCGAUUGCCCAAUCUGCAAAUAACUGCAAAUUGUUUCUUGUUUCCGCUUGGUGGAGUGGACCUCAUCCUUGGUAUCUCUUGGUUGCAAACAUCAAGUAUUGUUCAUGUGAAUUGGGCCACUAUGUCUAUGAAGUUCAUGCAUCUGGAUAAUUGGGUAACUCUAUCUGAUGAUCCUACUCUUACAAAGGCACCAAUAUCCUUUUCUUCUUUAGCAAAAUUAAAUGAUGUUGAUUAUUGUAUUUUAUCAUGGGAUUUAUCUUCCACUCACUCUACCCUUCUUGAUCAAAAGUUCACUAGCAUACAACAACAAGAAUUGCAUUCUUUGUUAUCUCAAUAUCGGUCAUUGUUUGAAGAGCCUUCGACUCUUCCUACUCAUCUCGACACGGACCAUAGCAUUCCUCUAUUACCUGAUUCAGGCCCAGUUAAUGUACGUCCUUAUUUAUAUGGUCAUGGUCAGAAAGAUGAAAUAGAGAAAUUAGUGGAUCAGAUGUUGGCUGCUAGUAUUAUUCGGCCCAGUUCUAGUCCGUUCUCUAGUCUAGUGCUUUUGGUUUGGAAGAAGGAUAGUAGUUGGCGAUUCUGUGUAGACUAUCGUGCUUUUAACAAGGUCAUUGUUUGGAACAAGUAUCCGACACUAGUCAUUCAAGAGAUGCUAGAUGAAUUACAUGGCACAUACUUAUUUUUUCAAGAUUGAUUUGCUCUCGGGUGAUCAUUAAAUCCAUGUUAAAGAAGACGAUGUUCCGAAAACAGUCUUUCGGACUCACUCCGAUUAUUAUGAAUUUCUGAUCAUGCCAUUUGGGCUAACUAACACCCCGACUACCUUCCAAGCUACCAUAAACAACUUAUUUCGCCCAUAUCUCCGCUCGUCUUUCUCGAUGACAUUCUCAUUUACAACACAUCUUGGCAGGAGCGCAUUCUCAUCUCCGUGUGGUUCUGGAUUUGCUACUGCAUAAUCACUUUAAGGCUAAUCAAAAUAAAAGCAUGCUGGGACAUCUUCAGAUUGAAUACUUGGGCCAUCUCAUUUCAAAAGAGGGUGGUGCGACCAUGGAUCCGGGAAAAAUUAGUUAUAUUCUAAGAUAGCCUCAACCCACUUCUGUUUGAGCUAUUCGUGGGGUUUUAGGACUCACAGACUAUUAUCGUCGCUUCAUAAGGGACUACGGCAAAAUAGCUUCCCCUCUUACUGCAUUGCUUCGUAAAGAUCAGCAGCAUGUGUUUUCUUGGCCUCCAGCUGCACAAUAGGCCUUUGACCAGCUCCAAUAGGCCUUUCAUUGUGGAAUGUGAUGCUUUGGGCAGAGGUACUGGGGCAGUCCUUAUGCAAGAUCAGCGUCCUGUUGCUUAUUAUAGUAGAGCUUUAUCUGACAGAUCAUAGUCAAAAUCAGUUUAUGAGAGGGAAUUAAUGGCUCUCGUCCUUGCUAUUCACCAUUGGCAGCUGUAUUUAAUGGGUAGAAAGUUUCUAGUUCGCAUGGAUCACCAUAGUCUGCGCCAUUUACUUAAUCAACAAGUUAUACAUCAAGAUCAACUAAAGAGGGUAGCUAAAUUAUUGGGGUAUGAAUUUGAUAUUCUUUAUAAGCCCCAGGUGGCUAUAAAAGCAGCUGAUACUCUUUCGCGUUGUCAUGGCAAGCUAGGUGUACAGUGCUUUCUCAUCCUUAUUGGUUUGUUUUGAAGCACCUUGAGGAUGAGCUCUUAUUAGAUCCUUAGUACAAUCAAAUGCUUCAGGACCUUUGCCAAGGUCUCACUUAUCAUCCUCACUUUUUUUGGUCCAUAAUCGUUUAUUCUACAAAGGUCGCCUUGUGAUUCUUGCUACUUCAAAAUGGAUACCAAAAUUAUUAGCUGAAUUUCAUGCUACACCAUAGAGACCAUUCUGGAGCCUUGAGAACAUACGAGAGACUUGCUGCAAAUGUCUAUUGGAAAGGUGUGAUGAAGAUGAUUCAGCUCUUUGUGGCUAAAUGUCCUACCUGCCAUCAACAGAAGUACCAAACUCUGAGUCCUGGAGGGCUGCUUCAACCGUUACCAAUUCCACAGCAGGGCGCCAAGUUAUGAAUGAGCACCGCUUAUCACCCCAAAACUGACGGGCUGACGGAGGUCUUCUGAACAACCUAAGCAUUGGAGCGAUUAGUUUCACACCGCUACUGGCAUUACUCCAUUUCAGAUUGUGUAUGGACGACCUCCUCGAACCUUGUCUCAAUUCGUGCCCGGGAAAAUUAAAGUUGACGUUGUAGCACAAGACUUGGCUGAUAGGGAUGAAGUUUAAGACAGUUUCAUUAUAAUCUUCAACGGGCGCAACAACACAUGACUAAGGCAGCCAACAAGCAAAGGCAUGAAGUUCACUUUAAUGUGGGUGAUUCUGUUUUCCUUAAAUUUAGACCUCAUCGCCAAUAAUUUGUGCACCGUAGGGUCCACUCUAAACUUGCUGUUCGUUUUACGAUCCCUUUUUAAUUACAGCAAGAAUUGGUCCGGUUGCUUAUCGUCUUCAAUUGUCAAAAGGGGCUCGCAUCCCCCCUGUUUUUCAUGUAUCUCAGCUGAAAAAGCUUUGGUUCUACUGCUGUUAUUUCUCAGCCUCCCACUUACAUGGCCAUUGAUGGCGAUAUGUACGAACCUAAGGAAGUGCUUCAUAGGCAGUCCAUUCUUCAUCAAGACAACUUGGUUUCUCAAUUUUGAUGAGUCUACUUGGAUUGAUGAAGUUGAUUUUGUGAAUCAGAUUCAUUCUUUUCACCGAGGACAAUGUUGCUGUUGAAGGGAUGGGUAUUGAUACAGAAAGGAGCUCGGAAAAACAUUUCAAUGGGUCUAGACCUUUGAGGGUUUAUGCUAGAAGAGUAAAGAAGAAAGGAAAAGUAACAGGAGAUAUUAAAGGGAAUCUCAUGCAGCUGGAGGGGCAUAACAAAUUAGGACGAGUUGGCAGCCAGGACAUAAAACAAAUAGAGUAUUUCAGUAAUAAGAAAAGGGUGAGAGGUUAGUUAUUUUGUUGCGAGCAAUUCUGAUUGGGCCAGUGAAAGUUUUUCUGAUUUUUAUUUCCUUGAAGCCUUGUUUGGUGUAAUAUUGUAAUUGAGAAUUUUAGUAUGUUCAUUGUUCUUCAGUAAAUACAAGUGCAAUUCUCUUUAUUCUCUUUUCUUUUGUUUAUUUCAAGUUCUUUGCUCUAUCACAAACCAAAUACAAAUCCCGCAUGCAUGUUCUCAUAUUUAUCAGCCUUCACAUGAUAGAGAUUUUACAAUCUUGAACGAC
rnacentral:misc_RNA from 1 species